GAUGAACGCUGGCGGCGUGCCUAAUACAUGCAAGUCGAGCGAACGGACGAGAAGCUUGCUUCUCUGAUGUUAGCGGCGGACGGGUGAGUAACACGUGUAUAACCUACUUAUAAGACUGGGAUAACUUCGGGAAACCGGAGCUAAUCCCGGAUGAUCUUUUGAACCGCAUGGUUCAAAAGUGAAAGACGGUCUUGCUGUCACUUAUAGAUGGAUCCGCGCUGCAUUAGCUAGUUGGUAAGUUAACGGCUUACCAAGGCAACGAUGCAUAGCCGACCUGAGAGGGUGAUAGGCCACACUGGAGCGGAGACACGGACCAGGCGCCUACGGGAGGCAGCAGUAGGGAACGUUCCGCAGAGGGCGAAAGCAUGACGGAGCAAGGCCGCGUGAGUGAUGAAGGUCUUCGGAUCGUAAAACUCUGUUAUUAGGGAAGAACAUAUGUGUAAGUAACUGUGCACAGCUUGACGGUACCUAGUCAGAAAGCCACGGCUAACUACGUG
rnacentral:rRNA from 1 species